UACAGAGGUCUCAAGCGUUGUUCGGAUUCAUUGGGCGUAAAGGGUGCGUAGGCGGCGCGGUAAGUCGGGUGUGAAAUCUCGGAGCUUAACUCCGAAACUGCAUUCGAUACUGCCGUGCUUGAGGACUGGAGAGGAGACUGGAAUUUACGGUGUAGCGGUGAAAUGCGUAGAUAUCGUAAGGAAGACCAGUGGCGAAGGCGGCCAUCUGGACGUCAACUGACGCUGAGACGCGAAAGCGUGGGUAGCAAACAGG
rnacentral:rRNA from 1 species